GAUGAAGAACGCAGCGAAAUGCGAUAAGUAAUGUGAAUUGCAGAAUUCAGUGAAUCAUCGAAUCUUUGAACGCAUAUUGCGCUCUCUGGUAUUCCGGAGAGCAUGCUUGUUUGAGUAUCAGUAAACACCUCAACUUCCAUAUCUUUUUUGAAAUGGGAGUUGGACUUGAGUGAUCCCAACGCUUUUCCUCACCGAAAAGUGGCGGGUUACUUGAAAUGCAGGUGCAGCUGGACUUUUCUCUGAGCUAUAAGCAUAUCUAUUUAGUCUGCCUAAAAAACAGAUUAUUACCUUUGCUGCAGCUAACAUAAAGGAGAUUAGUUCUUGUGCUGACUGAUGCAGGAUUCACAAAGACAGGCUUCGGCCGACUUUGUAAACUCGAUCUCAAAUCAAGAAAGACUACCCGCUGAACUUAAGCAUAUCAAUAAGCGGAGGA
rnacentral:misc_RNA from 1 species